rnacentral:rRNA from 1 species
CCCUAUGGGGUGCAGCAGGCGCGAAAACUUCGCUAUGUGCGAAAGCAUGACGGGGUUACUCCAAGUGUCGGCUGCUGAAGUCGACUUUUCCUUGGUCCAAAAGGCCAGGGGAAUAAGGGGAGGGCAAGAUUGGUGUCAGCCGCCGCGGUAAAACCAACUCCCCGAGUGGUUGGGACGAUUAUUGGGCUUAAAGCGUCCGUAGCCGGUCUAGUAAGUUCUCCGUUAAAUCCGAUGUCCUAAGCGUCGGGCUGCGGAGAAUACUGCUAGACUUGGGAAUGGAAGAGGCCGGCGGUACUCACCGGGGAGGGGUAAAAUCCUUAGAUCCAGGGAGGACCACCAGUGGCGAAGGCGGCCGGCUAGGACAUGUCCGACGGUGAGGGACGAAAGCUGGGGGAGCGAUCUGGAUUAGAUACCCAGGUAGUCCCAGCUGUAAACGAUGCAGGCUAGGUGUGUGACCAGCUACGUGCUGAUCAUGUGCCGUAGGGAAACCGUUAAGCCUGCCGCCUGGGAAGUACGGCCGCAAGGCUGAAACUUAAAGGAAUUGGCGGGGGAGCACCACAAGGCGUGAAGCUUGCGGUUUAAUUGGAGUCAACACCCGAAAACUUACCCGGGGGGACAGCAGGAUGAAGGCCGGGCUAAAGACCUUGCCAGACAAGCUGAGAAGUAGUGCAUGGCC